ensembl:snRNA U6 U6 spliceosomal RNA
UUGUUUAGGCCUCAUUAGCAGCACAUAUACGAAAGCUGGAACAGUACAGAGAAUAUUAACACGGCCCUUUGAACAAGGGUGAUGUGCACCUUGUAAAAUUUUUCUCAUUUUUU